GUGGGGAAUUUUGGACAAUGGGCGAAAGCCUGAUCCAGCCAUGCCGCGUGAGUGAAGAAGGCCUUCGGGUUGUAAAGCUCUUUCGGCCGGAACGAAAUCGCUCGAGCCAACACCUUGAGCGGAUGACGGUACCGGAAUAAGAAGCACCGGCUAACUACGUGCCAGCAGCCGCGGUAAUACGUAGGGUGCAGGCGUUAAUCGGAAUUACUGGGCGUAAAGCGUGCGCAGGCGGCCUCUUAAGUCAGAUGUGAAAUCCCCGGGCUCAACUCGGGAACUGCGUUUGAAACUGGGAGGCUAGAGUACGGCAGAGGGGGGUGGAAUUCCACGUGUAGCAGUGAAAUGCGUAGAUAUGUGGAGGAACACCGAUGGCGAAGGCAGCCCCCUGGGCCUGUACUGACGCUCAUGCACGAAAGCGUGGGUAGCAAACAGGAUUAGAUACCCGAGUAGUCC
rnacentral:rRNA from 1 species